CACCCCCUUGCUUCCCCCGCCUGUCUCUCCUAAAGAGGAUGUAGCCCUCCAUGAUUGUGUUCCAGUCAUGUGAGCUGUCCCACCACGUCUCAGUGAUCGCAACGAGAUCGUGGCCCUGUGUCCGAACGCAGAUCUAGAGCUCAUCCUGUUUAUUUCCCAUGCUCCGUGCACAGGCCCUUUAGGGAAGCAGCAGGUCUGCCAGUAGCUGACAGAGUAGAAAGGUGUGCCUCUCUUUUUUGUAUAGAGUUAGAGGCAAGCCUGAUAUCCAGCCAAGAUGGACAAAGGAGAAGGACAAAGACAAAGCCUGGGAGGAAGACUAUGAGCCUUCAGCACGAGAGACCCCCAGAGGGACCACCGGGGACUGAUAUGCAUGUGCCAGUGGGACGGUUCGGAAUCCAGGAACUAAUUAUAAUGACACUGCCUUUUCUAGAAGUAGUAAUGAACAUGUAUUAGCCUAGGAGCAGAAAAAGCUGCCGCCUGAUGUAACGUGUGUGCGUGUUGGAGGAGCCCAGACUCCCCGCGCACCCAGCGCUCUUUACUUGCCUUUUAUUAACCCCAUAAAUAAAUCUCAUAAAGCUAA